rnacentral:rRNA from 1 species
GCCUAACACAUGCAAGUCGAGCGAAGCAUUUUAAAGGAAGUUUCGGAUGGAAUUUAAAAUGACUGAGCGGCGGACGGGUGAGUAACGCGUGGGUAACCUGCCUCAUACAGGGGGAUAACAGUUAGAAAUGACUGCUAAUACCGCAUAAGCACACAGUGCCGCAUGGUACAGUGUGAAAAACUCCGGUGGUAUGGGAUGGACCCGCGUCUGAUUAGCUUGUUGGCGGGGUAACGGCCCACCAAGGCGACGAUCAGUAGCCGACCUGAGAGGGUGACCGGCCACAUUGGGACUGAGACACGGCCCAAACUCCUACGGGAGGCAGCAGUGGGGAAUAUUGCACAAUGGGGGAAACCCUGAUGCAGCAACGCCGCGUGAGUGAAGAAGUAUUUCGGUAUGUAAAGCUCUAUCAGCAGGGAAGAAAGUGACGGUACCUGACUAAGAAGCCCCGGCUAACUACGUGCCAGCAGCCGCGGUAAUACGUAGGGGGCAAGCGUUAUCCGGAUUUACUGGGUGUAAAGGGAGCGUAGACGGCACAGCAAGUCUGAAGUGAAAUCCCCGGGCUCAACCCGGGAACUGCUUUGGAAACUGCUGGGCUGGAG